GUGUCAGCCGCCGCGGUAAUCCCAGCAGUCCAAGUCGCAAUCACAAUUAUUGGGUCUAAAACAUCCGUAGCUUGCUUUGUAAGUCUCUUGUGAAAUCCGGCCUCUUAAGGGUCGAAGUGCGAGAGAUACUGCUUAGCUUGAGACCGGGAGAGGUAAGAAGUACAAACGGAGUAGCGGUAAAAUGUGUUGAUCCUGUUUGGACUAACAACAGCGAAGGCAUCUUACUAGAACGGAUCUGACAGUGAGGGAUGAAGGCUAGGGGCGCAAAAGGGAUUAGAUACCCCAGUAGUCC
rnacentral:rRNA from 1 species